GCCUGGGUGGCUCAGUUGGUGAAGCGUCUGACUUCAGCUCAGGUCACAAUCUCGCGGUUCGCGGGUUCGAGUCCUGUGUCGGGCU
rnacentral:tRNA from 1 species